ACUGCAUUUAACUUCCCACCCUGUGCACCUCAAGUGGCAGUAAAUGAAAUUACCAAAAGCUGCCUCCCCUGACAGCUACACCAGCUCAGCUGCUGAGCCACAGUCACAAAUGUAAGACCAGUAUCAGGUCAGCAAGGUGACACCCACCAUUACAGGCUGAGCUUCUGCUGGAGGAGAAAGCAACUGAAGUGCUGUUUUUCCCAACUGAGAUGGCCUUAAGCCCCACAGAAGAAGGAAGGGAACAGGGGGUGGUCCAGUGAACAACAUGCAAGAGCAGAGCUUUGCAGAGCAGAUCUCUGCUGCCAGCUCUGCCCAGGUCUUCUGGGGGAACCCCAAAAAGUGACUGUUUCUACACCCUUAAAUAUCUGAAAUAAUGACACUGUCCCAAACAUGCUCAAAUUUACUGAUUAU